rnacentral:snRNA from 1 species
AUACUUACCUGGAUGGGGUCAAUGGGUGAUAAAAAGGCCCAUGGUAGGGUUGACGACUUCCAUUGCACUUUGGAGGGGCGCCCGCUUAAGGUCAACCCAAGCGGUCGAGCCUAUGUUAUAAUUUGUGAUAGUGUGGGCUUGCGUUCGCGCGGCCCCUGC